rnacentral:rRNA from 1 species
CUACGGGCCGCUGCAGGCGAGAAAACUUUGCAAUGUGCGAAAGCACGACAAGGUUAAUCCGAGUGGUUUGUGCUAAACGAACCUUUUGACAGUCCUAGAAACACUGUUGAAUAAGGGGUGGGCAAGUUCUGGUGUCAGCCGCCGCGGUAAAACCAGCACCUCAAGUGGUCAGGAUGAUUAUUGGGCCUAAAGCAUCCGUAGCCGGCUCUGUAAGUUUUCGGUUAAAUCUGUACGCUCAACGUACAGGCUGCCGGGAAUACUGCAGAGCUAGGGAGUGGGAGAGGUAGACGGUACUCGGGUAGGAAGGGGUAAAAUCCUUUGAUCUAUUGAUGACCACCUGUGGCGAAGGCGGUCUACCAGAACACGUCCGACGGUGAGGGAUGAAAGCUGGGGGAGCAAACCGGAUUAGAUACCCCCGUAGUC